rnacentral:lncRNA from 1 species
GAUUGCCCAAGAUAUUUAUUUUUGUAUAUACCACUUGAAAUAAAAAUUCUUAAGUGAAUGAACAAUUACAAUGUAUCCAUGCUAUGAAUUACAUUGUGGAGGCAGUAAGAAUAUUUAGCAAUAGGUAGAGACAUGAAAUAAUGCCCAAGAAACAUUAAAGGAGAAUAAGCAAGUUGUAAGGUAAUAUGUAUAAUAGAAUCCCACUUGGCCUAAAAAGAAAAUAGUUAAAAUAUGCAUAUUGUAGUAUGUGUAUAUAUAGAUAUGUUCAUAUAUAGCAGGUCUAGAAGGAUACACGAGUUUAUUGAGUAGGACUGAAUUUUUCUUUAUAUAUGGACAUCAAUAUCAUUUUAAUUUUAAAGGAUUUAUCUCCUUUGUGAACACCUACCUAAUGCGUAAAAGGUAGUGGAGAUACCACACGUGAAAUCUAAUUUUAAAAA